AGGAAUUUUCCGCAAUGGGCGCAAGCCUGACGCAGCAACGCCGCGUGGAGGAUGAAAUAUCUUGGUAUGUAAACUCCUUUCGAUGGGGAAGAUAAUGACGGUACCCAUAGAAGAGGCCCCGGCUAACUUCGUGCCAGCAGCCGCGGUAAUACGAGGGGGGCAAGCGUUGUUCGGAAUUAUUGGGCGUAAAGGGUGCGUAGGCGGUUUGACAAGUCAUCUGUGAAAUCUCUGGGCUCAACCCAGAGUCUGCAGGCGAAACUGUCGGGCUUGAGUAUGGGAGAGGUGAGUGGAAUUUCCGGUGUAGCGGUGAAAUGCGUAGAUAUCGGAAGGAACACCUGUGGCGAAAGCGGCUCACUGGACCAUAACUGACGCUGAUGCACGAAAGCUAGGGGAGCAAA
rnacentral:rRNA from 1 species